rnacentral:rRNA from 1 species
GCGUGCUAAUCUGCGAUAAGCGCCGGUAAGGUGAUAUGAACCGUUAUAACCGGCGAUACCCGAAUGGGGAAACCCAGUGUGAUUCGUCACACUAUCAUUAACUGAAUCCAUAGGUUAAUGAGGCGAACCGGGGGAACUGAAACAUCUAAGUACCCCGAGGAAAAGAAAUCAACCGAGAUUCCCCCAGUAGCGGCGAGCGAACGGGGAGGAGCCCAGAGCCUGAAUCAGCAUGUGUGU